rnacentral:lncRNA from 1 species
GUGCCUGACUAGAUGGUACUUGUACGCAUGCGCUAUCUGAGGUGCCUGACUAGAUGGUAGUUGUACGCAUGCGCCAUCUGAGGUGCCUGACUAGAAGGUACUUCCGUUUCAACCGGAAGUGAAAAACUCCGCGGGUAGCGUGAGUCAGCUGCACGCUCACAGGCAAGCCCGAGCCAGAGGCCAGUAAGCCCUGGAUGGUCCUUCAGGAACAAAGGAAACCUUGUUCUUUCUGGUAGAGAAAAUCAAGAGAUGAGUUUUAACGUCUGGACUGUCAAAGAGAUGCUCAGUGUUCCUUCAGGCUCUGGGACCACUAAGUCAUCUGCCUGGAAUAACAAUCAGACUGAUUAUUCUGCUCUCAGUGAUUCCCAAUUCCUCUUUGGAUCUCAGUUUUGCCCAGAAAAUUCAGAGACCUUGUCAGCACCCUUGGACUUGGGUGCUCACUCGAGACAUGCAAAACAACUACAGCAGAACCCUCUGGAUAGUGAACCUAGUAUUUUCACAAAGUACCAGACAAAACCCCACCUCUUUGGAGGAGAGACAAAGGAUGAAGGGUUAUUUUCUCUUCCUUUGCCAGUUGGAAAAUCGAAAUGCCUCUUGAAGCAGUUUGAGGAGAAAAACCAAAGAGCAAAAGACAAAUAUGACAGUGACACUGUAUACAACUUCGUUUCCCAGGUCAGAGAAAGCAUUCAGAGGUUACAGACAUCUGUGGCAGAGUCUGAGGAACGCCUCAGUUCAAGAAGCCAAGCUAUUUUGGACUCUUUGGAGACUGUAGCUAGGACAUUGCAAGAGACUGCACGGGCCCAGAGCGACGCGAGGUUUGAGGCGGUACAAGAGCAAGGCAAAGCGGAGCAGGCCAUCCUUGAGAUGCAGAGGAAAUUCGAAGCUACACGAGCAGAGUUUACGGAGGUGAAGUCCAGCCUGAGGCGCCUCGAGCUCUCGCUCGCCCAGCAGACUGAGGACCGCCAGCGGCUGCGUGAGCGCCUGGGCCAGCUGCCUGUGCCCGCCGUGCUGGCGGCGCGGGGGCCCGGCGCGCUGGGGGACAGCGCUUCGCAGACGUCGCCCUCCCUGGCGCGGAGCCCGGGUCGC